UACGUAGGGGGCUAGCGUUGUCCGGAAUCAUUGGGCGUAAAGCGCGCGUAGGCGGCCAGAUAAGUCCGGUGUGAAAGUCACAGGCUCAACCUGUGAAUGCCGCUGGAAACUGUCUGGCUUGAGUCCGGAGGGGGCGAGUGGAAUUCCUGGUGUAGCGGUGAAAUGCGCAGAUAUCAGGAGGAACACCAAUGGCGAAGGCAGCUCGCUGGAACGGUACUGACGCUGAGGCGCGAAAGCGUGGGGAGCGAACAGG
rnacentral:rRNA from 1 species